rnacentral:rRNA from 1 species
GAUGAACGCUAGCGGCAGGCUUAAUACAUGCAAGUCGUGGGGCAGCAGGGGUGUAGCAAUACAUCUGCUGGCGACCGGCAAACGGGUGCGUAACACGUACGCAACCUUCCCGUUACUGUGGCAUAGCCCAGGGAAACUUGGAUUAAUACCACAUAUUAUAUAGAGAGGGCAUCCUUUUUAUAUCAAAGCUUCGGCGGUAACGGAUGGGCGUGCGGUUGAUUAGGUAGUUGGCGGGGUAACGGCCCACCAAGCCUACGAUCAAUAGCUGAUGUGAGAGCAUGUUCAGCCACCCGGGCACUGAGACACGGGCCCGACUCCUACGGGAGGCAGCAGUAAGGAAUAUUGGGCAAUGGACGAAAGUCUGACCCAACCAUGCCGCGUGAAGGAUUAAGGUCCUCUGGAUUGUAAACUUCUUUUCUCUGGGGCGAAAACCAGCUAUUCUUAGCUAUUUGACAGUACCAGAGGAAUAAGCACCGGCUAACCCCGUGCCAGCAGCCGCCGUAAUAC